rnacentral:lncRNA from 1 species
CUGGGAAAACCCUAAAUGAUGUCACAAAGAGUCCAACAUGACUAAAAGGACUCAGCAACAAUAGUCUUGUGGUUGUUUUUAUCUAGUCCUUGCUGUGGAGUAUCUGACAUUUCUAUUUUCUAGAAAGUCAUGAAUCCUCCAUUCUUUCAUCCUAAACCUCUUUUGUUUCCAUGGGGAGGCAAUGUUGCAUACAGGCAAGACUUAGAGUCUAUUCUAGAUUGAGUCUCACCCUAGGAUCAUAAUUCUAGAAGUAGAAAAAAGAAAGGGAAGCCCAGGGAAGUUAACUGACUCAUCCAAGCUCAUCCAAGGUAACACAGGUGGGAGGCUUGAAGCAGAACAAUGUGAGAUCACAAUAUUGUACAGCAGAAAGAAUGUUGGAUUAAAAUUCCAGGAAUCAAGUUCAAGUCUUAGAUCUGCCACACACUAUUUGUGUGACCUUGGGCAAGUCACUUCAAUUCCUUGGGCCACACUUUCCAUCAUUAAAAUGAAGGGCUUGGACUUGAUGACUUAUAAUAUCUCUUGUAGCUCUAAAUAGAUGAUCUAGGUAAGUAUCUCUCUUAUUUCCUGAGCCAUUAGAGCAAUCUUGAUUUGGUUCUAAAAUCCAUGUUAAAUACACCUCUCUUUAUCAAUGUCACUCUAUCAGAAUUGAAAAACAGUUGGGCAAAGUGAAAGAAAACUUCCUUUUCUCCAAGAAACACAAGCCCUUGCUGGCCAUCCAGGGAUGCAAGUGAGUUUGUUUAAAAUAGACUGUUGUUCUCUGUCCACAGGUGUCCAACCCUAAGGGGCAAAUUAGUGUCACCAUGGAAGAAAAAAGGCUAGGGCUUAAUUGGAGGGAUCCUGAGCCUCCUACCCUAUCUCUGAGAGAACAUCAAAUGAGAGAAAAGAAACAGGAUACAUCUCCAGGCAAAUGGAAGUCCUAGGAGGGAGCGUUAGUAAACACUGAACAUUCUGCACUAACUGCACUUAAUCUAAUUACUUUAAAGGUGAAUGGAACAUUCAAACUUCAUUUACAUAACAGCAGUCCUGAUGUUUGUACAUUGUGCAAUCAAUUAAAAUGAACAUAUGCAGGGGCUGAAAAUGAAACAUUGAUAAAACAGGAUUAAUCAAAAGCUUAUCAUGAGCAAUAUCACUCUUAAUCGGAUUGGAAGAACUCUGUAGGGCCAUUCCAAAACUGAUGAGUUGAAGGCUAUAUUUAAAUUGUUAAUCACUGAAUUAAUUGGUGCCAUUAAAUCUCCUAUGUUCUGACUACUGCUUUUCCCCCUGAGGUCAGAAUCUCCUUCCUUGUCAGGCCAUUUGUCCAUGACACAAAACAUCAUCAUCAUUCUUGUCUCUAUCACCAUGACCAUCAAACAUUUUUAAGUGCAUACUUGGAUACUUUGAUGGAGCUAUGAUCUCCUCAGGGUGGGUACUCUUGUCUGACUUUUGUCUUUAUUCUUCCAUAAAUCCAACACAAGGAAUUCACUGAAGACAAUGAGGGCUUUUUUCCUUCCUUUUCUGUUUCUCUUGGUGUUAUUUGGAUAUUCAUGGACCAUGUG